rnacentral:rRNA from 1 species
UACGGAGGGGGCAAGCGUUAUCCGGAUUUACUGGGUUUAAAGGGUGCGCAGGCGGUUAUGUAAGUCAGUGGUGAAAUCUCUAGGCUUAACCUGGAAAUUGCCGUUGAUACUAUAUAUCUUGAAUGUUGUGGAGGUAAGCAGAAUAUGUCAUGUAGCGGUGAAAUGCUUAGAUAUGACAUAGAAUACCUAUUGCGAAGGCAGCUUACUACGCAGAUAUUGACGCUCAUGCACGAAAGCGUGGGGAUCAAACAGG